GUAACUUUCAAAAUAUACAUCCAAUCUCCAUAAAAAAAUACAUAUUAUUAAUCAGCACACUUUAAACAUAAACAUUCUCAAAAAUCAUACAAAUCCCUCCAGUAAUUCAAAAGUUAGUCGGAAGUCCUUUCUGACCGCAAGCACAUUUUGAUGCCCAAGUUCCAUUUGGUCUGUGCGGUCGGUCUAUUUCAGGCAGAAAAAUGACUAAGUCCCAUUCGAAUGCAAGAAC